GGAAAAAAAGCAACCUUACCAUUCCCUCUCCCAUAUGCUUCAACUUUCAUGUCUGUUUUGCCAUCUAUUCCAUUAACACUAUGAUUAAUGAAAGCUCUCCAGAAUUUCAAAUACCUUGAAAAGUAGCCAACGCCUGCACUUUGGAAGCUACACUGAAAAUAAAUAACAAUAAAAACAGGGUGAUCCAGGCUUUUGAAGUCUUUAAAGACAUCAGCCCUGUGAUCUUUGUACCACUGCUGCGGAAAAGAGGACAACAUUUCACAUUUCUGGCAUUACUAAUGACAGCACGGCAACUGAAAGAAAGCAUGAAUUUCUGGGAGUAGCAUUAGGAUACAGGAUUCCUGCUGAGCUCACCAGUUCCUUGCUCUGCACAGCUGCCUUCUCAGCUGGGGAUUUUAAACCAGCACUGUGAGAAAGACAGAAAUGACCAUGAUGCAUUUUCCUCACUAUGAGAAAAAGAUUAAUCCAAAGUUGAUUGAGGGCCCACCAUGUAUUAGGCAUUGCCAUAGAAUUCCUGAAGAUCUGAACACAGUGACCACUUGGCAGAAACUUCUAGGUGCAGAAACGUCGGAAGAGAAUUUCCCAAUUGUGUCCUGAGUGGUACUGUUGCUGCAAGAUCUCCUUGCCCAACACACAGCCCAUAAUGAUGCAUCCAAGGCUAGAAGACAUUUUGUAAGACAGAAAUCUUUGCAACUUUAUGCACUUUUCAAGCUUAUCUGAGCAAAAAAAUCUCCCCCCCCCGCAUGUAAUCAUUAAUUUGUAACUUAAAUAUGUAAAAAAAAUCACUAUUAAUUUCAGCAAAAAUCUCUAUAGUUAUUUAUUAAUAAACCACAUAAAGAAAUUGUGUAUUGCUUUGCUUAAUAAAUUGAGAAGAAACUUGAGCUCACUCUGGCAGCUAUAGAGAGAGGGAACGAGUGAGGGGAAAUAAAGGUGUAAAGAGAGAGAGGGGCUGGGGUAGGGGUUCUAGAAGCGAGAAAUUCCCUGUAGUGGGGAUGGUUGAG
rnacentral:lncRNA from 1 species